UGGACUGAAAAACAUUGAAGAGCCCACAACUAAACCAUCAGUCUGCUCCACCCAGAAAGAAGAUGGUCAGCUGCUCCUUGGACCGGCGCCUCUGUGUCUGUUGGACGUCUGCUGUCCUGUUAAAGACUCGCUCGGCAGCAGUAGAUGGGCGCUGACAUGGAGCCGGGUUCUUCUGGAGGAUCAUUCCUGCUUAAAGCUAGUUUUCCUCUCUACUGUCACCACUUCAUUGCUCAGGAGGAGGGACUGCUGCAUUCAUGACUGGAUGUGAUUGGCUGAGCUUCCCUGGAUUGAAUAUGUUUCUUUAAGCGCCAUAAUACACUAAAUUUAUCUUCAUCAUAUUGUAAAUAGGAUCUAACUGGAUGUUUAUAAAUUAAUUUAAUUCUGUUUGUGUUGAAUUCUGUUACAUGUUUCUGUUUUAAAGCUCUCAUGUAAAUUGCCUUGAUAUGACAUUAGCUGUGAUUUGUUUUUAUUUUAAAAGACUGAAUUAUAUCAAAUCUUGCCUAAUGAGUCUGGUUCUCUCUGGUUCUUCCUGUCAUUCUAUCUUCACCUGUUAUUUAUUAUCACUAUAAUAAAGGUUUGAUUUUUGUUAA